rnacentral:rRNA from 1 species
GACAGAGGUGCCGAGCGUUAGGCGGAAUCACUGGGCUUAAAGCGUGUGUAGGCGGCCCGUUAAGUGCCUCGUGAAAUCCCCCGGCUCAACCGGGGAACUGCGGGGCAUACUGGCGGGCUUGGGUCGCUCAGGGGCAGACGGAACAGGCGGUGGAGCGGUGAAAUGCGCAGAUAUCGGGAAGAACACCCGUGGCUAAGGCGGCUCUCUAGUACGGUACUGACGCUGAGACGCGAAAGCGUGGGGAGCGAACAGG